AUGAACAUUGCUCACUGCUGCCUCUACCUCCCAGGCUCAAGCAAUUCUCCCACCUCAGCUGGGAUUACAGGCAUGUGCCACCAGGGCUGGCUAAUUUUUUUUUUAAUUUUUGUUAAAGAUGAGGGUCUCACUAUGUUGCCCAGGCUGGUCUUGAACUCCUGGUUUCAGUUGAUCCUCCUGACUUUGCUUCCCAAACGGAUGGGAUUACAGGUGUUAGCUACCAUGUCCAGCCUGCUGAUUUUUAAAAAUGGAAUUUCUUUUUCCUUUCUUUUUUUCUCUGGGCAUGGUUUUGCUCUGUUGCCCAGAUUGGAGUGCAAUGGUGCGAACGCAGCUUAUUGCAGCCUCAACCUCCUGGGCUCAAGCAAUCCUCCCUCCUCCGUCUCCUGAGUAACUAGGACUACAGACAUGCACCACCACACCUAGCUAAUUUUUAAGUUAUUUGUAGAGAGAGGGUUUCCCUGUGUUGCCCAGACUGGCCUGAAACUCCUGGGUUCAAAAGAUCCUCCCACCUCAGCCUCUCAAAGUGCUGGGAUUACAGGUGUGAGCCACCACCCCUAGACUGGAAUUUUUUUCAUAAUUACAUUCUCACGUUGUUUGUUUCUAGUUUCUAGAAAUAUAGCAGAUUACUGUGUAUUGAGAUUUUGUGUUGUAACUUUGCUUACUUUACUAGUUUUAAUAAUAUUUUGGGGGUUCUUAAUGAUUUUCUGUAUGUAAGAUAGAUCAUGUGAUCUGUGAGUAGACAGUUUUGCUGUCCCCUUUCACAUAUGAGUGCUCUUUACUUCUGUUUCUCUCCUAUUUGUUGUGGAUGGAACUUCCCAUACAGUGUUGAAUACAGUGAUGAAAAUGAGCAUUGAUGCCUUGGUGGUGAUCUUAGGAGUAAAGCACUGGGCCCUGACAAUGGAGAUGGUGCUGGAGGCCGAUUGUUGUGUUUAGAAAAUUCCUAUCUCAAGGUCAGGGGUCAGGGUCAGUGUUCAGGGUCAGGGGUCAGGGUCGGGUUAGGGUCGGGGUCAGGGGUCAGGGUCGGGUUAGGGUCAGGGUCAGGGUUAGGGGUUAGGGUCAGGGUCAGGGUCAGGGUUAGGGUUAGGGUUAGGGUUUAGGGUUAGGGUUAGGGCUUUGAAUAAACUUAUAUGGUAGCCAAGUUGUGGUUACAGUGGGCCUUGGGUGAGACCAAGUUCUAUGCCUACUUCAAGUGUGAACCAGCACAGUCUCAGUGGUGAUGGCCUCAGGGGUGCUUAUGUUACCCCAACUCCAGCUCCACAUGCCUCAGCACAGAAAGAGAGACUGCUGGUUUCAGAGAAAGAAAGGGAAGAGAACAAGAAUCUCUACUUGAUAAAUCAAGAGAAUUUUUCUUAAUGUUAAUCCAAGGCCACCAAAGCAGUACCUCUACGUGUUUGCUACUGUGUUUUUGGGCUUGGC
rnacentral:lncRNA from 1 species